rnacentral:rRNA from 1 species
CUGCUGCCUUCCGUAGGAGUCUGGGCCGUGUCUCAGUCCCAAUGUGGCCGUCCACCCUCUCAGGCCGGCUACUGAUCGUCGGCUUGGUGAGCCGUUACCUCACCAACUACCUAAUCAGACGCGGGUCCAUCUUACACCACCUCAGUUUUUACCUCUGUACCAUGCGGUACCGGGGUCUUAUGCGGUAUUAGCAGUCAUUUCUAACUGUUAUCCCCCUGUGUAAGGCAGGUUACCCACGCGUUACUCACCCGUCCGCCG